rnacentral:rRNA from 1 species
UACGAGGGGGGCAAGCGUUGUUCGGAAUUAUUGGGCGUAAAGGGCGCGUAGGCGGUGCGGUAAGUCACCUGUGAAAACUCUGGGCUCAACUCAGAGCCUGCAGGCGAAACUGCCGUGCUUGAGUGUGGGAGAGGUGCGUGGAAUUCCCGGUGUGGCGGUGAAAUGCGUAGAUAUCGGGAGGAACACCUGUGGCGAAAGCGGCGCACUGGACCACAACUGACGCUGAGACGCGAAAGCGUGGGGAGCAAACAGG